rnacentral:rRNA from 1 species
GAUGAACGCUAGCGGCAGGCUUAAUACAUGCAAGUCGAGGGGCAGCACGGUUAGCAAUAACUGGUGGCGACCGGCGCACGGGUGCGUAACACGUAUACAAUCUACCUUAAACAGGGGGAUAGCCUUUCGAAAGAGAGAUUAAUACCCCGUAAUAAAUUGAACGGCAUCGUUUGAUUUUGAAAGCUCCGGCGGUUUGAGAUGAGUAUGCGUCUGAUUAGCUAGUUGGUGAGGUAACGGCUCACCAAGGCGACGAUCAGUAGGGGAUCUGAGAGGACUAACCCCCACACUGGUACUGAGACACGGACCAGACUCCUACGGGAGGCAGCAGUAAGGAAUAUUGGUCAAUGGAGGCAACUCUGAACCAGCCAUGCCGCGUGCAGGAUGACGGCCCUAUGGGUUGUAAACUGCUUUUAUACAAGAGAAAACCCUGGUACGUGUACCAGGUUGAUAGUAUUGUAAGAAUAAGCAUCGGCUAAACUUUCGUGCCAGCAGCCGCGGUAAU